CGCCGGCCUCGCUCCAGCCACAAGGUGAUCGCCUCCAUGCUGGAGCUGGAGCAGCAGGUGUUCCUGCUGCAGCAGCAUGCGGUGGUGAUCACCGCGAUGACCAAGCUACACGAGGCCAGCCCCCUCUCCAUCGGUCGGGCCAUCGAGCGGGAGUUCCAGAUCCCCUCGCACCUCCUGCGCGUCACCAGCCACGAUCCAGAAGACUUCUUCAUCCACCUCACCAUGCCAGCGCACAAGGAGCUCGUCGUCCGGCGCGGCUCGAUCAUCGUGGAUGGUGUCUCCUUCCUCCUGGAGCCAUGGAGGGAAGACACGCACGCGAUCCAUGACACCUGGAUGCUCCAUGUCCAUGUCGUCAUGGAGAAGCUGCCGAUGCAGCUGUGGACGCUGGAGGGCGCAAAGGAGGUGCUGGGCGACCAGGUGAUCAUUGAACGCCUCGACAGCCGCACCUUCGAGCGCGCGGACACGAAGCACUUCGCCGUCUGGGUGUGGGUGUGGCAGCUCCACCACAUCCCCACCAAGAGGACGCUCUGGAAGCACGCGCGCGGCGCCGGCAGGGUGGAGGAGAUGCUCGGCUUCUCGCCGCCGAGUAGAGUGGUCGCGCCCCCCCAACCUGCUUCGCUGGGACGUGUUGGUCCACAUCGAUCGCGUCAAAGACUGGACGCCGCUCUCCCCCCGCUCCUCGCACUCGGGCCAGAGCGGGCCAGAGUGGGCUCCCCUGUACCCGCGCAUCCCGCCUAUCGGUGGCUGGGUGACCGGCGUCGAGGAUGGUAUGCCGGCGCUGGACUCGCGGCCGCGCAUGCGCCAUCCCGCGCAGGUCGCGUCCUCGGGCUGCAAGGGCAUGCCCUCGGCAGGCCAUCGAUGCUCCCACGACGGUGA
rnacentral:rRNA from 1 species